rnacentral:tRNA from 1 species
GGCGUAGCCAAGCGGUAAGGCAACGGGUUUUGAUCCCGUCAUGCCCAGGUUCGACGGAUUCGCCGGGAUGCGAAUCCGGACGGCGCAGCCG